UGCGUUCUCGAAAAUUACAAA
rnacentral:piRNA from 1 species